rnacentral:rRNA from 1 species
UAGGGAAUCUUCCGCAAUGGGCGAAAGCCUGACGGAGCAACGCCGCGUGAGUGAUGAAGGUCUUCGGAUCGUAAAACUCUGUUAUUAGGGAAGAACAAAUGUGUAAGUAACUAUGCACGUCUUGACGGUACCUAAUCAGAAAGCCACGGCUAACUUCGUGCCAGCCGCCGCGGUAAUACGUAGGUGGCAAGCGUUAUCCGGAAUUAUUGGGCGUAAAGCGCGCGUAGGCGGUUUUUUAAGUCUGAUGUGAAAGCCCACGGCUCAACCGUGGAGGGUCAUUGGAAACUGGAAAACUUGAGUGCAGAAGAAGAAAGUGGAAUUCCAUGUGUAGCGGUGAAAUGCGCAGAGAUAUGGAGGAAGACCAGUGGCGAAGGCGACUUUCUGGUCUGUAACUGACGCUGAUGUGCGAAAGCGUGGGGAUCAAACAGG